UACGUAGGGGGCAAGCGUUGUCCGGAUUUAUUGGGCGUAAAGAGCGUGUAGGCGGUUUGGUAGGUCCGUUGUGAAAACUCGAGGCUCAACCUCGAGACGCCGAUGGAAACCAUCAGACUAGAGUCCGGAAGAGGAGUGUGGAAUUCCCGGGUGUAGCGGUGAAAUGCGCAGAUAUCGGGAAGACACCCGUGGCGAAGGCGGCACUCUGGGACGGUACUGACGCUGAGACGCGAAAGCGUGGG
rnacentral:rRNA from 1 species